ACAGAAAUUACAGUUGCAAGAUAAAUGUUUGGUCCUUAGUUUCUUCCUCCAAACAAACUAUCUUUGUCUAUCAAUCUACGCCCACUUACUACUGGUAGUUAGGAGGUUCAUUUUACAGUAUAAAUAGAGUGGUCUUCACAAUCGACAAUCUCAAAGCAUGACAAAACACAAGUUCCGAAAAUCGAUAACAUACAUGAGAGGCAUUCGAGUUAGGAUACAGAUGAAGCAAUGUACUAAACCAUUAGUUGGUUUAUUGUGCAAAACUGCUGCUGAAGAAGCCUUUAUCCGAUGGUUUUCCUGCUACAUAUUGGCAUCAAAGAGAGAGUUCAGAGAGUUUCAAAGAACUAAUGUCAACAAAUAGAAGAAUAAAUUUCUAUUUGAAAUGAGAAAACAUCCAAUAUCCAUAGUUCAGAUCCUGAAGCCUAGACUAAAGUUCUUGUUUUAUCAAUAGAUGCAGAGAUGCAAACAAUACUUGGAGCAGGAAAUCUCAAAAAGAUCAACAAGUGACAGGUAAUAGAAUUAUAUCUGAAAAACGAAGCAGCAAAUUCUGUUCACACUAUUAUCAGGUAAGAACAGUGAAAUCAUACACAAACAUAAUGAGGAAAACUAUGGGUAAUAGCCAGUAGCACAUCUGAUUAUUGCAAAUGAGAACAUUCAUGCUUGAAUGUCAUCAAAUUUUGUAAGUGAGAGACGAUACUUACCCAGAACUCAUAUUACAUUAGAGUCAACUACUGACUGUUCAAGCAGUAACAUGAGCUAAACGAAUAAAGUGUACACAGAGAGAUAUUUUUCUCUUAAUUAUUGAAAUCCCAUUUCCCUCUUUUCCUCCUUUUAUCAGAUUCAAGAACUCUUCCUCUUGACAUUCAUUCCCCUGCAGCAACACAGAGUGAUUCUGGUGAAAGAUCAUUGGUUUUUCGUCAACUUAUUAGAGUGUUCCACUUCCGAAGCACAGAGUGCAAAGUGCCAGUAAAAUGAAUAGUUGGGAAAAGUUUAACUCUGUGUAUGCGGCACGAAAGAAAGCACCAAAGGAAGAAAUUGAACAGCGUGGGGACUAAUAUAGGGGAAUAUUCAUAACAGAAGAACAAGCACUAAACCUGCUCAUGCAUAGCCUCAACAACUAACUGAAGUUUUGUGCGCAUAGCACCAACAUGUAUUUGAUUGCACAAAACUGAAGAAAGAAUUCAAUUAUGUGGAAUAUUCCAUAUAACUGACGAGGGGACUGUAU
rnacentral:lncRNA from 1 species